GACGAACGCUGGCGGCGUGCUUAACACAUGCAAGUCGAGCGGAAAGGCCACUUCGGUGGUACUCGAGCGGCGAACGGGUGAGUAACACGUGAGUAAUCUGCCCCUGGCUUUGGGAUAGCCACCGGAAACGGUGAUUAAUACCGGAUAUGACCACUUCUCGCAUGGGAUGGUGGUGGAAAGUUUUUCGGCCAGGGAUGUGCUCGCGGCCUAUCAGCUUGAUGGUGAGGUAAUGGCUCACCAUGGCUUCGACGGGUAGCCGGCCUGAGAGGGUGACCGGUCACACUGGGACUGAGACACGGCCCAGACUCCUACGGGAGGCAGCAGUGGGGAAUAUUGGACAAUGGGCGGAAGCCUGAUCCAGCAACGCCGCGUGAGGGAUGACGGCCUUCGGGUUGUAAACCUCUUUCAGUACCGACGAAGCGCGAGUGACGGUAGGUACAGAAGAAGCACCGGCCAACUACGUGCCAGCCGCCGCCGUAAAAC
rnacentral:rRNA from 1 species